UACUCAUCAUGCUCGUUUACGCCAAAAUUCAACUCAUUGAACCCUUCAUUCACAUUCUCGGGGAUUGCUUCCAAAUUCUGCACAUCUAACAAAACCUCCCAGUCCAAAUUCCUAGAUACAUCUGCACUCUCCUCCCGGGCCAUCACCGGCAUGUCAUCAUCAUCCAGAAACAUGCUCAGAACCUCUCUCUCAUCAACUCCUUCAUCCACUUCCUCCCACUCAAAAUCCUCAUUAACUUCUCUAUGAUCCUCUAUCUGAAAAGAAUCCCAACAGAGCCUAAGGCUUGGAUCAUCAUCACCCUCACUUAUAUCAUCAUCGUCAGCACUAAAAUCAAUCUCAACGUCAUGGUUUAUAUCAGAAUCCGAUUCCGACCCGAUAUCCACGACUCGCAACCCGGUUACAAAAUGGUCCCCACCCUCAAAAUUUUCAGCUACGAACCCCGAAUUUUCCACAUUUGCCGAAGUGGGCUCUCCGAGAAACCCUAGAUUCAGAUCAAGAUCCAAAUGGGUCGGCUCCAUUCCGUCGUUUCCUUCAUGAAUCCCGAAAUUCGGGUCAGCAUCGGAAAUCUCCGGGUCAAUCACCACACAGGUUGUGGAGGACAAUUGGGACUGCUCAACUCGUUGGUGCAGGAGGUCCAUAACGAAAUUGACCUGAUUCUCGCGGUCGAAAAGAUCAGCGCCGGUGACAACCGAUUCGGGCUCCGACACGAUGUCGCUGGGGGAAUCAACCAAUAGUGAUGAUGAACGAUGGAGAGUGGAGAGUCGGCCACGGGGAAGAACAUCGGACGGUGGGAAAUCGGAGGAAGGAUCUAAAGUGAAGGCAUCGAAAUCGGAAGACCAGUAGGGAUCGAGAUGAUGGCGGUGGGGAUGGGUUUGAUGAUGAGAAAAAUCUACUUCUUCAAUGACGUCGUCUAGGCCGUCAUCGUCCUGGUGGAGUCUGAGUAGUUGAAGCAACGUCGUCUCAGCCAUUCUGUUUCAGCGGGGUGGGGAGAGUAGGAGGAAUAAAAGUGAGAAAGGAAACACCUUUUUUU
rnacentral:lncRNA from 1 species